GAUGAACGCUGGCGGCGUGCCUAAUACAUGCAAGUCGAGCGAACGGACGAGAAGCUUGCUUCUCUGAUGUUAGCGGCGGACGGGUGAGUAACACGUGGAUAACCUACCUAUAAGACUGGGAUAACUUCGGGAAACCGUAGCUAAUACCGGAUAAUAUUUUGAACCGCAUGGUUCAAAAGUGAAAGACGGUCUUGCUGUCACUUAUAGAUGGAUCCGCGCUGCAUUAGCUAGUUGGUAAGGUAACGGCUUACCAACGCAACGAUGCAUAGCCGACCUGAGAGGGUGAUCGGCCACACUGGAACUGAGACACGGUCCAGACUCCUACGGGAGGCAGCAGUAGGGAAUCUUCCGCAAUGGGCGAAAGCCUGACGGAGCAACGCCGCGUGAGUGAUGAAGGUCUUCGGAUCGUAAAACUCUGUUAUUAGGGAAGAACAUAUGUGUAAGUAACUGUGCACAUCUUGACGGUACCUAAUCAGAAAGCCACGGCUAACUACGUG
rnacentral:rRNA from 1 species